ACAAAGCAUUUUUUUUUUCAAGAGCGCUUAGAAAGAGAUGUCUUCCUUUUUUUUAUCAAAAUGUAAAGUUUUGCUUGUCAUAUUCAUUAUAUAUAAAUUUAGCUGAGAUAUCUUAAGCAAUUAGUGUAGCAUAUGUUAACAACUUAUUACAAACACUGCUACAGUUGAGGAAGUUUAACUUUACUAAUCAAGCCCCUAAAUGACACAUCAUUAUAUUAAGUUUGAUAAUAUUGGAACAAAUGGGGCUUCUACAUAGGGUAAUGUUGGGAAAAUAUCCAUAUUAACGUUUGGCUGUUUUAUGGAGGCCACGGCUUACAAGGAUGUUAUAUCACUAGCACAAUGCCUGACCACCUUAGACUC